CUUGUAGGGGUUGACAGUGACACAGAAGAGGCCCGAGUAGGUGUAGAUCAUCCAGGCUGCAUAACGCUCUUUGAGGUUGUACAGCACAGCGGGUUCGUGGAGGUGGGUCAUCAUGGCCAUGUCCUCAAUUUUAUCGUACUUGGGAGGGUUCAUGGAGAAGAUUUGAUCUUCCUUCACGGUUAGAGUUUCACCACCUUCAGUCUUGACAGUGACCUUCCCCGAUUCUUUACUCUGGAUUGUACUUUUCACAUAGGAUUCUUUAGCAUGUACCACAAAGACUGAUGACUUGGCAUCAAAAGGCUUGUUCUGGGCCUCAAUCCUCUCCUUUUCUGACCUUCCCCGAUUCUUUACUCUGGAUUGUACUUUUCACAUAGGAUUCUUUAGCAUGUACCACAAAGACUGAUGUCUUGGCAUCAAAAGGCUUGUUCUGGGC
rnacentral:lncRNA from 1 species